CAAAAGAUGGUGAUGGGUAGUCAGGGAUCAUUGCUGGCAUCUGAAGCCAUAACACAGAGACAAAAGAUUAGCCAGACUACAAAACAAUUGCUCUAGUAGUUCAGUUCCAGAAGAUGGUGAUGCAAAAUCAGGAUUCUCCAUGAUCACUGCUGCCAUCUGAAGCCAUAACACAGACCCAAAAGAUUAGCCAGAUUACAUAACAAUUGCUCCUGUAGUUCAGUUCCAGAAGAUGGUAAUGCUAACUCAGGGCUCUCAUUGAUCAUUGCUGCCAUCUGAAGCCAUAACACAGACGCAAAAG